rnacentral:rRNA from 1 species
UACGUAGGGUGCAAGCGUUGUCCGGAAUUAUUGGGCGUAAAGAGCUCGUAGGCGGCCUGUUACGUCUGCUGUGAAAUCCCGGGGCUUAACCCCGGGCGUGCAGUGGAUACGGGCAGGCUGGAGGCAGGCAGGGGAGAACGGAAUUCCCGGUGUAGCGGUGAAAUGCGCAGAGUAUCGGGAGGAACACCGGUGGCGAAGGCGGUUCUCUGGGCCUGUACUGACGCUGAGGAGCGAAAGCGUGGGGAGCGAACAGG